rnacentral:rRNA from 1 species
UCUAGAACGCUAGCGGGCUUAACACAUGCAAGUCGAGGCCGGUAUAGGAAGCUUGCUUUCUAGAGACCGGCGCACGGGUGCGUAACGCGUAUGCAACAGACCUAGCACAAAGGGAUAGCCCAGAGAUUUUUGGAUUAAUACCUUAUAGUAUAUCGAGUUGGCAUCACCAUGAUACUAAAGAUUUAUCGGUGAAAGAUGAGCAUGCGUCCCAUUAGUUAGUUGGUAAGGUAACGGCUUACCAAGACUACGAUGCCAAGGGGUCCUGAGAGGGAGAUCCCCCACNCNGGUACUGAGACACGGACCAGACUCUCCGGGAGGCAGCAGUGAGGAAUAUUGGACAAUGGGCGCAAGCCUGAUCCAGGCAUGCCGCGUGCAGGAUGACGGUCCUAUGGAUUGUAAACUGCUUUUAUACAGGAAGUUCACCUCUACGUGUAGAGACUUGACGGUACUGUAAGAAUAAGGCAGGGCUAACUCCGUGCCAGCAGCCGCGGUAAUACGGAGGAUCCAAGCGUUAUCCGGAAUCAUUGGGUGGAAAGGGUCCGUAGGCGGUCAGAUAAGUCAGUGGUGAAAGCCCAUCGCUCAACGGUGGAACGGCCAUUGAUACUGUCUGACUUGCGUUAUUAGGAAGUAACUAGAAUAUGUAGUGUAGCGGUGAAAUGCUUAGAGAUUACAUGGAAUACCAAUACUGAAGGCAGGUUACUACUAAUAUAUUGACGCUGAUGGACCAAAGCGUGGGUAGCGAACAGGAUUAGAUACCCUGGUAGUCCACGCCGUAAACGAUGGAUACUAGUGGAUUGGGAGCAAUCUCAGUGGCUAAGCGAAAGUGAUAAGUAUCCCACCUGGGGAGUACGAACGCAAGGGUGAAACUCAAAGGAAUUGACGGGGGCCCGCACAAGCGGUGGAGCAUGUGGUUUAAUUCGAUGAUACGCGAGGAACCUUACCAAGGCUUAAAUGUAGUUUGACCGGUUUGGAAACAGAUCUAACGCAAGACAAAUUACAAGGUGCUGCAUGGUUGUCGUCAGGACGUCACGUGAGGUGUCAGGUUAAGUCCUAUAACGAGCGCAACCCCUGUUGUCAGUUGCCAGCGAGUCAUGUCGGGAACUCUAACGAGACUGGCAGUGCAAACUCUGAGGAAGGUGGGGAUGACGUCAAGGCAUCACGGCCCUUACGCCUUGGCCUACACACGUGCCACAAUGCCCGGUACAGAGAGCAGCCACUGGGUGACCAGGAGCGAAUCUACAAACCGGUCACAGUUCGGAUCGGAGUCUGCAACAGCACUCCGUGAAGCUGGAAUCGCUAGUAAUCGGAUAUCAGCCAUGAUCCGGUGAAUACGAACCCGGGCCUUGUACACACCGCCCGUCAAGCCAUGGAAGCUGGGGGUGCGUGAAGUCGGUGACCGCAAGGAGCUGCCUAGGGUAACCCUGGUAACUAGGGCUAAGUCGUAACAAGGUAGCCGUACCGCUGGGUGCGGCUGG